CGUAACAAGGUCUCCGUAGGUGAACCUGCGGAGGGAUCAUUACACAAAUAUGAAGGCGGGCUGGAACCUCUCGGGGUUACAGCCUUGCUGAAUUAUUCACCCUUGUCUUUUGCGUACUUCUUGUUUCCUUGGUGGGUUCGCCCACCACUAGGACAAACAUAAACCUUUUGUAAUUGCAAUCAGCGUCAGUAACAAAUUAAUAAUUACAACUUUCAACAACGGAUCUCUUGGUUCUGGCAUCGAUGAAGAACGCAGCGAAAUGCGAUAAGUAGUGUGAAUUGCAGAAUUCAGUGAAUCAUCGAAUCUUUGAACGCACAUUGCGCCCUUUGGUAUUCCAAAGGGCAUGCCUGUUCGAGCGUCAUUUGUACCCUCAAGCUUUGCUUGGUGUUGGGCGUCUUGUCUCUAGCUUUGCUGGAGACUCGCCUUAAAGUAAUUGGCAGCCGGCCUACUGGUUUCGGAGCGCAGCACAAGUCGCACUCUCUAUCAGCAAAGGUCUAGCAUCCAUUAAGCCUUUUUUUCAACUUUGACC
rnacentral:misc_RNA from 1 species